AAACUGGGGAACUUGAGUGCAGAAGAGGAGAGUGGAAUUCCACGUGUAGCGGUGAAAUGCUAAGAGAUGUGGAGGAACACCAGUGGCGAAGGCGACUCUCUGGUCUGUAACUGACGCUGAGGAGCGAAAGCGUGGGGAGCGAACAGGAUUAGAUACCCUGGUAGUCCACGCCGUAAACGAUGAGUGCUAAGUGUUAGGGGGUUUCCGCCCCUUAGUGCUGCAGCUAACGCAUUAAGCACUCCGCCUGGGGAGUACGGUCGCAAGACUGAAACUCAAAGGAAUUGACGGGGGCCCGCACAAGCGGUGGAGCAUGUGGUUUAAUUCGAAGCAACGCGAAGAACCUUACCAGGUCUUGACAUCCUCUGACAAUCCUAGAGAUAGGACGUCCCCUUCGGGGGCAGAGUGACAGGUGGUGCAUGGUUGUCGUCAGCUCGUGUCGUGAGAUGUUGGGUUAAGUCCCGCAACGAGCGCAACCCUUGAUCUUAGUUGCCAGCAUUCAGUUGGGCACUCUAAGGUGACUGCCGGUGACAAACCGGAGGAAGGUGGGGAUGACGUCAAAUCAUCAUGCCCCUUAUGACCUGGGCUACACACGUGCUACAAUGGACAGAACAAAGGGCAGCGAAACCGCGAGGUUAAGCCAAUCCCACAAAUCUGUUCUCAGUUCGGAUCGCAGUCUGCAACUCGACUGCGUGAAGCUGGAAUCGCUAGUAAUCGCGGAUCAGCAUGCGCGGG
rnacentral:rRNA from 1 species